rnacentral:rRNA from 1 species
AUGAGUUGGACAUCGAAGGGGGGCCUUUUUUUGAGGACGAGCUCGCCAACCAAGCCGAAGCGCAAGAGCAGGCGGACGAAGGCGUACACGGUGGCUGAGGACAAGCUUCUUUGUGAGUGUUGGAGGGACACUGGGCAAGACCCCAAGACCGGCGCCGAACAAAAGGCAUCAACCUUUUGGAGUCGUGUCCAUCGUGAGUCCCAUGAGCACAAGAAAUUUGCACCAUACCAAAUGCAAAUCACGCGCGGAUGGAUGUCCAUUUCAAAGCGUUGGAAGGUGAUCCAAUGA